AAUGGAAUUGCUGGGUCAUCUGGUAACUCUAGGUUUAACUUUUUGAGUAAUUGCUAAACUGUUUUCCAAAGCAUCUAUACCAUUUAUAUUCCCACCAGCAGU
rnacentral:pre_miRNA from 1 species